CGCAGAGUGGAGAAGUUGGUCAUCUCGCUAGGCUCAUAACCUAGAGAUCGCACAAAGUGGUUCGAAUCCCGCCUCUGCAA
rnacentral:tRNA from 1 species